rnacentral:rRNA from 1 species
AUAACCCUUUGUUGUCCGACUCUGUUGCCUCCGGGGCGACCCUGCCUUCGGGCGGGGGCUCCGGGUGGACACUUCAAACUCUUGCGUAACUUUGCAGUCUGAGUAAACUUAAUUAAUAAAUUAAAACUUUUAACAACGGAUCUCUUGGUUCUGGCAUCGAUGAAGAACGCAGCGAAAUGCGAUAAGUAAUGUGAAUUGCAGAAUUCAGUGAAUCAUCGAAUCUUUGAACGCACAUUGCGCCCCCUGGUAUUCCGGGGGGCAUGCCUGUUCGAGCGUCAUUUCACCACUCAAGCCUCGCUUGGUAUUGGGCAACGCGGUCCGCCGCGUGCCUCAAAUCGACCGGCUGGGUCUUCUGUCCCCUAAGCGUUGUGGAAACUAUUCGCUAAAGGGUGUUCGGGAGGCUACGCCGUAAAACAACCCCAUUUCUAAGGUUGACCUCGGAUCAGGUAGGGAUACCCGCUGAACUUAAGCAAU